rnacentral:rRNA from 1 species
GCCGCUUGUGCGGGCCCCCCGUCAAUUCCUGGUGUAGCGGUGAAAUGCGCAGAUAUCAGGAGGAACACCGAUGGCGAAGGCAGGUCUCUGGGCAGUAACUGACGCUGAGGAGCGAAAGCAUGGGUAGCGAACAGGAUUAGAUACCCUGGUAGUCCAUGCCGUAAACGGUGGGCGCUAGGUGUGAGUCCCUUCCACGGGGUUCGUGCCGUAGCUAACGCAUUAAGCGCCCCGCCUGGGGAGUACGGCCGCAAGGCUAAAACUCAAAGGAAUUGACGGGGGCCCGCACAAGCGGC